rnacentral:rRNA from 1 species
CAACAGGGAUUGCCUCAGUAGCGGCGAGUGAAGCGGCAAGAGCUCAGAUUUGAAAUCUCACCUAGUGUGCGAGUUGUAAAUUGCAGGUUGGAGUCUCGGGUUAGACGUGUGUGCAAGUCCCUUGGAACAGGGUGCCACUGAGGGUGAGAGCCCCGUAUCGUGCAUGUCGACACCUGUGAGGCCCUUCUGACGAGUCGAGUUGUUUGGGAAUGCAGCUCUAAGUGGGUGGUAAAUUCCAUCUAAGGCUAAAUAUUGGCGAGAGACCGAUAGCGAACAAGUACUGUGAAGGAAAGAUGAAAAGCACUUUGAAAAGAGAGUGAAACAGCACGUGAAAUUGUUGAAAGGGAAGGGUAUUGGGCUCGACAUGGGAUUUACGCAUCGUUGCCUCUCGUGGGCGGCGCUCUGGGUUUUUCCUGGGCCAGCAUCGGUUUUCGUUGCAGGAUAAGGACAAUUGGAAUGUGGCUCCUCGGAGUGUUAUAGCCUUUUGUAGAUGCUGCGUAUGGGGACCGAGGGCUGCGGCGGACUCGUUUCGUCUCGGAUGCUGGCACAACGGCGCAAUACCGCCCGUCUU